rnacentral:rRNA from 1 species
CCUACGGGGUGCUGCAGUGGGGAAUAUUGGACAAUGGGCGAAAGCCUGAUCCAGCCAUGCCGCGUGUGUGAAGAAGGCCUUCGGGUUGUAAAGCACUUUCAGUGGGGAAGAAAGCCUUGGGGCUAAUACCCUCGAGGAAGGACAUCACCCACAGAAGAAGCACCGGCUAACUCCGUGCCAGCAGCCGCGGUAAUACGGAGGGUGCGAGCGUUUAAUCGGAAUUACUGGGCGUAAAGCGCGCGUAGGCGGUCUGAAAGCCGGUUGGUGAAAGCCCCGGGCUCAACCUGGGAACGGCAUCCGGAACUGUCAGGCUAGAGUGCAGGAGAGGAAGGUAGAAUUCCCGGUGUAGCGGUGAAAUGCGUAGAGAUCGGGAGGAAUACCAGUGGCGAAGGCGGCCUUCUGGACUGACACUGACGCUGAGGUGCGAAAGCGUGGGUAGCAAACAGGAUUAGAUACCCGUGUAGUC